GAAGUGGGCCCUCACCAGACACUGAAUGUGCCUUGAUCUUGGACUUCUCAGCCUCCAGAACUGUGAGAAGUCAAUUUCUGUUCUUUAUAAGUCACCUGGUUUGUGGUAUUAUGUGACAGCAUCCCAAAUAGAUCAAGAUAAUACUCUUAAUUUUGUGAUGCCCAUUAGGCUUCUAUGUAUAGAUGGCAAUUGGAUGUACAAGUCUUGAGUUCAGGGUAUGCAGUGGAGACACAAAUUUCAUAGUCAUCUGAAUAAAGAUAGCAUUUAAAUCCACAAGAGUAGAUGAGAUCAUAAAGGAUGUGAUUGUGAAUAGAAAAUGGAAGCUGUCCAAGGCCUGAGCUGUAUUAUUUAAAGGGGAGAAGAGGGAAUGACCUGGAGAAGGAAAAUCCGUCUAAAAAGGAGCAGCCAGUAAGGGAGACCGUGAUGAUGACAUUUGGAAGCAUCUCAGGAGACAAGAAUAAAACGCCAUUUUUUUCCCACUUCGCUAACAACUCAGUGUUCUGAAAAGUCUGGAAUGUGCUAUGAAAAGUUUGUGUGCUUAGUGAAAUGUUGUACAAUUGGCCAAUCUGCUAAGUCUUGGGAAAUGUCUUAGGAGCUUGGCAAGAAGAAGUUCUCAAGAGAGCCUGAAUGCUGCCAGUUUCCAAUUGGCCAAGACACAUUACAAGGACAACUGUCUCUCUGAGCAACCUGGCAUUUCCACUCCAAUUGGAAUCUGCAAGGGGAAGAUGUGCAGGGGAAGAAGAUUAAACAAACCUUUUCAGA